rnacentral:rRNA from 1 species
CGGGGGGAGCAAGCGUUGUUCGGAUUUACUGGGCGUAAAGGGCGCGUAGGCGGUCAGCACAAGUCAGUUGUGAAAUCUCCGGGCUUAACUCGGAAAGGUCAACUGAUACUGUGCGACUAGAGUGCGGAAGGGGCAACUGGAAUUCUCGGUGUAGCGGUGAGAUGCGUAGAUAUCGAGAGGAACACCUGCGGCGAAGGCGGGUUGCUGGGCCGACACUGACGCUGAUGCGCGAAAGCCAGGGGAGCGAACGGGAUUAGAUACCCCGGUAGUCCUGGCCUUAAACGAUGGAUGCUUGGUGUCUGGAGUUUUAUAGUCUCCGGGUGCCGUAGCUAACGCGUUAAGCAUCCCGCCUGGGGAGUACGGUCGCAAGACUG